UGCUAAGAAAGUGCAGCCUCUCAGCCUCAG
rnacentral:piRNA from 1 species